UACAGAGGGUGCGAGCGUUGUCCGGAAUUAUUGGGCGUAAAGAGCUCGUAGGCGGCUCGUCGCGUCGGCUGUGAAAACCUGGGGCUCAACCCCGGGCCUGCAGCCGAUACGGGCGAGCUAGAAUUCGGUAGGGGAGACUGGAAUUCCUGGUGUAGCGGUGAAAUGCGCAGAUAUCAGGAGGAACACCGGUGGCGAAGGCGGGUCUCUGGGCCGAUAUUGACGCUGAGGAGCGAAAGCGUGGGGAGCGAACAGGA
rnacentral:rRNA from 1 species